rnacentral:rRNA from 1 species
AUUGAACGCUGGCGGCAUGCUUUACACAUGCAAGUCGAACGGUAACAGGCCGCAAGGUGCUGACGAGUGGCGAACGGGUGAGUAAUGCAUCGGAACGUGCCCAGUCGUGGGGGAUAACGCAGCGAAAGCUGCGCUAAUACCGCAUACGAUCUAUGGAUGAAAGCGGGGGACCGUAAGGCCUCGCGCGAUUGGAGCGGUCGAUGUCAGAUUAGGUAGUUGGUGGGGUAAAGGCGCACCAAGCCAACGAUCUGUAGCUGGUCUGAGAGGACGACCAGCCACACUGGGACUGAGACACGGCCCAGACUCCUACGGGAGGCAGCAGUGGGGAAUUUUGGACAAUGGGCGCAAGCCUGAUCCAGCAAUGCCGCGUGCAGGAAGAAGGCCUUCGGGUUGUAAACUGCUUUUGUACGGAACGAAACGGUCCUGGUUAAUACCCGGGGCUAAUGACGGUACCGUAAGAAUAAGCACCGGCUAACUACGUGCCAGCAGCCGCCGUAAGAC